GAUGAACGCUGGCGGCGUGCCUAAUACAUGCAAGUCGAGCGAACGGACGAGAAGCUUGCUUUUCUGAUGUUAGCGGCUGACGGGUGAGUAACACGUGGAUAACCUACCUAUAAGACUGGGAUAACUUCGGGAAACCGGAGCUAAUACCGGAUAAUAUUUCGAACCGCAUGGUUCAAAAGUGAAAGACGGUCUUGCUGUCACUUAUAGAUGGAUCCGCGCUGCAUUAGCUAGUUGGUAAGGUAACGGCUUACCAAGGCAACGAUGCAUAGCCGAUCUGAGAGGGUGAUCGGCCACACUGGAACUGAGACACGGUCCAGACUCCUACGGGAGGCAGCAGUAGGGAAUAUUCCGCAAUGGGCGCAAGCCUGACGGAGCAACGCCGCGUGAGUGAUGAAGGUCUUCGGGUCGUAAAACUCUGUUAUUAGGGAAGAACAUAUGUGUAAGUAACUGUGCCCAUCUUGACGGUACCUAAUCAGAAAGCCACGGCUAACUACGUG
rnacentral:rRNA from 1 species